rnacentral:rRNA from 1 species
GGCCAGACUCCUACGGGAGGCAGCAGUGGGGGAUAUUGCACAAUGGGGGAAACCCUGAUGCAGCGACGCCGCGUGAGUGAAGAAGUAUUUCGGUAUGUAAAGCUCUAUCAGCAGGGAAGAAAAAAGACGGUACCUGACUAAGAAGCCCCGGCUAACUACGUGCCAGCAGCCGCGGUAAUACGUAGGGGGCAAGCGUUAUCCGGAUUUACUGGGUGUAAAGGGAGCGUAGACGGCAAUACAAGUCGGAAGUGAAAUACCCGGGCUCAACCUGGGAACUGCUUUGGAAACUGUAUGGCUAGAGUGCUGGAGAGGUAAGCGGAAUUCCUAGUGUAGCGGUGAAAUGCGUAGAUAUUAGGAGGAACACCAGUGGCGAAGGCGGCUUACUGGACAGUAACUGACGCUCAUGUACGAAGGCGUGGGUAUCGAACAGGAUUAGAUACCCGUGUA